rnacentral:lncRNA from 1 species
CCCACCUGACAGAAUGACCAGACCAAAGAUAGACCCAGCAGUUAACGGCCAUGAAAUAAUUAAAUGGUACUGGGACUUCAUGACCAAUCCUGCUAGUAGGGCUCGUCAAGUUGCUGCUAGCAAACUCUUCUUCCGGGACGCAGCCCAAACCCACGCCACAGCCACAGCCACAGCCAAGCUACCAGCCCAAACCCAUGCCUCAGCUCCAGCCCCAGCCCAUGCCAUAGCCACAGCUAGGCUACCAGCCCAGGCCUCAGUCUCGACCCCAGGGCCUGCAGGUCCUGAGGCGUCUCCUUUCUGGGGAACCCGCCUGGCCUUCAAGGUUUCCCCGCCUAGGAAGCGCCGCUCUCGGUGGCGUCCGGGCUCCUUGAGGUCUGGCGCCCUCCUUUGCUGUCCUUCGCCGACACCUGCCAGUGGCCCUCAGUCGGCGGCCCGGUCGACACCUGCCAGUGGCCUUCAGUCGGCGGCCCGGUCGACACCUGCCAGUGGCCUUCAGUCGGCGGCCCGGUCGACACCUGCCAGUGGCCUUCAGUCGGCGGCCCGGUCGACACCUGCCAGUGGCCUUCAGUCGGCGGCCCGGUCGACACCUGCCAGUGGCCUCCAGUCGGCGGACCUGAUGGCGCCUGUUCCUGCCAGUGGCCUUCAGUCGGCGGACCUGAUGGCGCCUGUUCCUGCCUGUGGCCUUCAGUCGGCGGACCUGAUGGCGCCUGUUCCUGCCAGUGGCCUCCAGUCGGCGGACCUGAUGGCGCCUGUUCCUGCCAGUGGCCUCCAGUCGGCGAACCUGAUGGCGCCUGUUCCUGCCUGUGGCCUUCAGUCGGCGGACCUGAUGGCGCCUGUUCCUGCCUGUGGCCUUCAGUCGGCGGACCUGAUGGCGCCUGUUCCUGCCUGUGGCCUUCAGUCGGCGGACCUGAUGGCGCCUGUCCCUGCUCCUCGGUCGGAGGCCCGGCCGAGGCCCGUCCCGGCACCUCGGUCGGAGGCCCGGCCGAGGCCCGUCCCGGCACCUCGGUUUGAGGACCGGCCGAGGCCCAUGCCAAGUCCUGUCCCAGCACCUCUGUCGGAGGACUGUCCGAGGCCCGUCCCUGCUCCUCGGUCGGAGGACCGUCCGAGGCCCAUGUCAAGUCCUGUCCCAGCACCUCGGUCGGAGGACUGGCCGAGGCCCGUCCCUGCUCCUCGGUCGGAGGACCGGCCGAAAUACAGAAAUAAAUAAAUAAAUAAAUGUAGGUGAACAGAAAUGUAUAAAUAAAUAAAAAGCAUUUAUUCUUUUAUUUAUACUUUUAUUUAUUUAUUUAUACAUUUAUUUCAGCAUUUAUUCAUUUAUUUAUGCAUAUAUUUAUUUCAGCAUUUAUUUA